GGGGCGGAGCGGGGCGGGCGGGCCACCAUUAGAAGGCGGCCGCGGCGGAGAGAGGAGCUCCUGGAGCGAAGCUGUGGCGCGUCACCGGGCCGGACCGGCAGCGCGCUCUGCCGCGGUGAUGGCCACACCAGGGAUGAUCGCGGAGAGAAGCAAU
rnacentral:lncRNA from 1 species